GGACCUCUCUCACGUCCACCACCGCACGUCCCAGAUCUCCUUCCUCGUGUGGCCACUCCCACCAAAACAUCCCCUCAAACCCUCACACUGCCCUCCUCAGCUCCCUCCUUUACCUCCUCCUUAAAGCACAACCACAUUCAAGCAGAAGAAUUGUUAUAAAAGAGUGUGGCCAACGGCGACGCUUCCUUCUAUGUUUACAAAUACAAUGCAAACCAACAAGGUAUAAAAUAAUCUCGCCCCUCUUCCUCCCGUCGAUGAGCCCAACCCCCUCCAAGAAAUCCGCCGACGCCGCCGCAGCCGCAGCUACAGCGACCCAAGCCCGGUCGUCCGCAACCGGCCUCGGCGGUGGAGGGGGCGGCGCGGGCAUGCGGCUCAUCGUACCUCUCCAGGGCGUCGUCCAGGGUCGCGGCGGCCUCGUCCUCGGCACCCUCAUCCCCUGCGCCCUCUUCUACUUCCUCCAGUUCUACCUCAGGCGCAACCGCUCUCCUCCUCCUACUUCGCCGCAACCCCCCGCUGCCAACGGCCCCGAUCUCCCCGGCAUCGUCCGGUCCUCCUCCCGCAACUUCCUCUCCGCCCGCGGCUCCUCCGGCCACGCCGCCGUCUCCUCCCGCGCGGCCUCGAUCGCCAGAUCCGGCGAUUCGCCUUACUUCGUCGGGACUAAGAAGUGCUCCGAGGACCCUUACCAUCCCGUCGAUAACCCCGACGGCGUCAUACAGCUUGGGUUGGCCGAGAACCGCUUGUCUUUGGAUCUAAUUGGGGACUGGCUUGCGAGAAAUGUGACGAAUACCCUACUCGACGAGCGGCAGGGUGGGCUGAGCAUCAGCGGAUUGGCGACGUACCAGCCUUUUGAUGGGUUGGUGGAAUUGAAGAUGGCUGUGGCUGAAUUUAUGGGACAAGUCAUGCAAGGGUCAGUCUCGUUUGAUCCAUCGCAAAUAAUAAUGACAGCUGGCGCAACUCCAGCAAUUGAAAUUCUCAGUUUCUGCCUGGCAGAUGCUGGAAAUGCAUUUCUUGUUCCUUCACCGUAUUACCCAGGGUACGACAGGAAUAUAAGAUGGCGAGCUGGCAUAGAGUUGAUACCCGUUCCAUGUCGAAGCACUGACAACUUUGGUUUAAGUAUUCCUGCACUCGAAAGAGCAUACAAUCAGGCAAAAAUGCGAGGUGUCAAAGUGCGAGCUGUUCUUUUCUCAAACCCCUCCAACCCUGUGGGCAAUCUUCUGCACAGGGAAACAUUACGAGACCUUCUUGACUUUGUUACGGAGAAGGGCAUUCAUGUCAUUGCUGAUGAAGUGUUCGCAGGGUCAACCCAUGGUACUGAAGAUUUUGUGAGCAUGGCGGAAGUUUUAAACACAGAUGAGUUUGAUAGAAGCAGGGUUCACAUAGUAUAUGGCUUGUCAAAAGAUCUCUCCGUCCCAGGCUUUCGGAUCGGUCUCAUCUACUCUUUUAACGAACAUGUCAUUGCGGCUGCCUCGAAGCUGGCAAGGUUCUCCUCCGUUUCUGUUCCAACCCAGCACUUGCUCAUCUCGAUGCUUAAUGACACUAAGUUCAUCACACAAUAUAUCAAGACGAACAGAGAGAGACUCCGAGUAAUGUAUGCAUUGUUAGUGAAUGGCCUUAAACAGUUAGGUGUUGAGAGUGUCAAAAGCAGUGGUGGUUUUUACUGUUGGACGGAUAUGAGCAAAUUUAUGAAAUCAUACAGUGAGAAAGGGGAGCUUGAGCUAUGGAAGGAGAUGCUUAAUGUAGCUAAGAUUCAUUUGACACCUGGAACGGCAUGCCAUUGCAUUGAACCUGGAUGGUUUCGUUUAUGCUUCACAACAUUGACUGAGAAGGAUGUGCCUGUAGUUUUGGAACGCAUCAAGAGAGUUGUUGAUAACCAUUGAGUCUACUAAAGCAGAAAGGUAGAGGUCUUUGGUACAAAUAUGUUCAUAAGGCUGGAAAGUCGAUCACAUCGAGUCUCUUUCAGUAGUCUCGUAUCCUCUCCAGGGUUGUCAUCAAUUUUGGUAGUGUAGGCUUCGCUUCAUGCUUCUCUUAUCCUUGCUGAUGUAACUACAUCAAGGUGCACCACUACUCGUGCAGAGACCUCCGCUUGGUGAAGAGAUUUCUUUUCACUUACCAGCUGCUAAUAUAUGCUCUCAUCUUGUUACCAUUUGCAAUGAACGGAAAGCAUGUAAGCACCCUCUUCUUUAGGUAAUCCUGUGAUGGACAAAUUGGUUUAGAAUGUUUAUUAGCCUACACGCAAUGGAUCAUUUUGGCAAGUUAAUGCACCCAUUGCACUCUCCAAGGAUGAUGGAUGGAUAUACUACAAGCAAUCAUUUACCUUUGGGUGCUCUCUCUUCCUGCCUUCGUUUUGCUUCCUUCUGCAGCUUAGCUUGCGACUCAGCAGUAUGAGCUCCCCGAGUGUCAGCCCCCUCCUUGCCAUGCCUGCGUGUUCGCUGCUGCAAUGGUUUGGGCCACGGCGAGCAGCCACAGCAGAUGGAGCUUCGUCUUCCCCGCUGGGCAGCGGGAAAAGGAACUGAAUCACCGAAGUGUCUGUGCCCACCUCCGCUGCCUCUGAGCUGCUGUGCCCAUCCGUUCCCGAUACAGAGUGCCAGUCCUCGUUCCGGUAGGAGCCGUUCUCGCUAAAGCUCUCCCACGCAGCAGUCACAUCAGCGAAAGACAGGUCUGCAUUGUCGUCCAUCUUGAAAGAAAAGGCUUCGAGGUGACAGCUCGACGCAGGACGAGGAUCCAACCCAUUCAGAUCGCCGGCAGUCAACAAGUCCGGCACGGUGGGAGGAAUCUGGAUUGGCUUCCCGGGCUUCUCUUCCCAUUCGAAGGGGACGGAAACCACGAGUCUCGUCGGCGGCGAAGACGAGAUCACGGGGACUCUCUUCGGUACGCCGGGUUUCUCUUCCCAAAGAUACGGGACGGUGAUCUGCUGCUUCUCUCGCUGCCGAGGACGCGACGCAGAGGACUCCUCACUCUCCUCCGCCAUGGUCGGUAGGUUCGAAAACUCGUUGCAUGCUCGUCCACGCCGUGGACACGAGUAGAUAUAGGAAAAGCUUUGUUGGAUUCGACGAAGCUGUUCCACGAUCGAAAUGUUCUCGCUCAACUGUACCAAUUGGCGUGGCCAUAGCCAUCGCAGACCCAACCCACUUUCCCACCUGCCCAAAUUAACAUUUACGAAACUAAAAAAGGGCAAGAUUUCAAGUAGGAUUAGUUAUAUAUCGAUCGAUGUUGGAUCAUAUAAAUUCAUAUUCAUUAUUUUCUUAAA